AAAAUGAAAAAUAUCCUUUUAAUAUUAUUAAAUUCAAAAUCAUUUUAUAUUUUCUGAAAUAAAAUUUAUAUAAACAAAUGUCAAAUAUAAAAUUACUAAUGUAAGAACCUAAGAAUAUAUAUAAUAUGUAUAAAUAUUAAAAGAAGUUGGGGACGAAACUGAAUUAAAAUAAAAGGGAGGGACCACUUAACUAAAAAGAAUCAGUUUAAUUUUGCUGCUGGACUUUCUGAAAAGCAUAAGUCAUUCUCUCAAGAACGUUUCUCUCUCUAGACCUCAUACUCUCCAUUUUUCCUCUGCCUUCUCUCUACCUUUUCUUUCAACUGAACCGUUAGAAUUUCAAUCCGUAGGCGUCUAAACGAUCCUGACGCUGAGAGCUUCAAUUGGCACCGAUCAAUUUCAGGAUUCAUUGAUGUAAGUUGCUCUUCAUUGUUCCUUGCUGUUUUGGAACCCUAGACCAUGCAAUUUGUUGUUGCAUGUGUCUUCUAUUUUUUUUUCUUCCAAUCCCUGUCCAAUUCUAGCUCUAAGAGUUGUUCUUUAUCACCACAUUAUGGGUUGUAGGGUGCUGUUUAGAUUAUUCGCGUGUGAGAUACUGUAGUUGUGGAUCUCCGAGCUGAGUAAAGAAAUUUCAAGGUAAGGGUAGCUGACUUUGCUUUGUUUUGUUUGGCUGUGAUUUUGGGAAUGAUGGAAAGGAAUAUACGUUUUAAUAGAUGUUAAGCCUCUGUUUUUAUUUUGACGGUGAAAAUAUUGAUACGAUUGAUAAAAGGUUUUUGGAGCUAAGUUUUCUGUUGAUUCUAUGGGCAUGAGUGUUGUGUUAGAUACAUUUGUUUUUUUUUUUUUUUUUUUGUGUUGUUAAUAAAGUUGAGCAUGAUUUUGGUAUGUGAUAUCAUGGUUUUGUGGUGCCUAAUUUAAUUAUAAGAAUAGUAUUACCAAUAUGCGACCUAUUUAUACGUGUAGGAAAUUUUGAUUUCUUUUGAUGCAGAAGAAUUGUACUAGGGAAAUGUUAUUAUUUUAAUACAGUACAAAUAUAUUAUUAUAUUUAAAUUUAUGACUAAAUUUUGGAAAUCCAUGUUGAAUAUAUUCAUGGUACGGCGGUAAAUAUUUUUUUGGUUAAGGAAAAUGAUGUAGUGUAAGUACUAUGAUUAAUACCUUAUGUGUAUGGAUAAAAAUAAAAGAAAAAAAAACUAUGUUUAAGUAUUGUGAUAAUUUUGGAAUAGAAAAUUAUUAUCCUUUAAUUUAUGAACUUGCAUCAAUUGAACAGGGAAUAGAUAUAUGACUUUUUGGAAUCUAAGUGUUUGUUUAAUUUGGUUUUUAUAGUAUUGGAAUUGAAUUGGCAAUGGUCUUUGUACCUAUAGUGAGGGGUUACGUCAAUUUAUUAUUUAAUGUAGGAAUCAUAUUGGUAAAUACAUGUCUAAGUAAAAUAAAUAAUAUAUUAGGAAAUGGUGCAGGAACGUGGUUAGGAUACAUGGAUUUUUUUUAUUUAUUUUAUUUUAUUACUUUUAAGGCUAGUUUUUUUUUUUAAGUGGACAUAGGUUUAUUUCUUUAAGUGCAGUAAAACUUUUGAAUUAAAAAGAAAUUAUGUUAUAAGAUUUUAUUAUGUAAACUUAAUUGAAUUUAUUGAAUAGAUGUAUUGGAUGGUUUAGGUACAAAAUAUGAAGAUGAAUUGUUAUGUGUUUUGGUGUUUUUAUGUUGGGUGACUUAAUUGAGUAAUAACUGAACAUCUCAGAGAGAGAUGAUCAGGAAUGAUUGUAGAGAUAAUCUUGUUGUCUGUAUAAUGUUGGGAGCUUUGAAAUGGUAUGUCUAUCCCUACACUCAAAACAUUGUUCAUACUCAAAUAGAGAAUAACAGUGUGAGUGGUGAGAGUAGAGGGAGGUCCUCGUCUAUAGUCUUGGGUUUAGACAUAGACAAAUUGGGGGACUUACCUUGCAUAGUGUUGGGGAUGGGCCAACUGAACUAUGCAAGUACAAAGACAACCAAUAGCUAGACAGUUAUACAAAAUCCGGAUGAGUCGCUUCGAGUAUUUGAUGUAUGUUUUGAAUGAUAUGCCUUGCUUGCUUUCUUAUAUGUUAUUAAGUAUGAUGACAUUGAUUUACUGUUUUGUAUGUAUGUUGUCUGUUUACCUAGCUCACCCUUACUUUUGUGUUGUAUGUUGAUUGGGUAUGUUUUCUCUUGCGAUGACCAUCCGUUUGGAUGGGAGCAGAUGUUGUUGAGGAGGUCUCCGUGGAGCAAGUGUUGGAGGACGCUGAUGCUGCUGCUUAGCUCUCUUUAGGAUUUCACUUAUUUAGCUUAUGUUAUUUUGAGAUACUUAUUAGAUUAUUUUGAAAUACUUUACUAUGAUUAAAGUUUUAAACUAGGCCAUUUUGUGAGACUGUAAUCCUCUAAUUAAUCGUAAGUCAUACUCUGAUUGUUCUCUUUAUUUGAAUGAUGACGCCUAUAUUAUAUGAUUGAGGUUAUUAUAUAUUUGGGAUGUCACAACUAAACCUAAAAUAUAUAACUAAUCCAAAAU
rnacentral:lncRNA from 1 species